GCGUGGACCCCUCGGAAGCCUGUCAUAUGACGAGGGCGUGCGAUGACGUCACCGUCAUCUCACACUGGUGAAAUCCGAGGUGGGCGAGAGCGAGACGGUGGGGUGAGAUCAAGCGCUACAGUCCGGACGGACGAUUAGCGAAAUAGAAUACUCUUACUGACGCAGAAGUGAGGUUUGGGACUAUAAAACAUUGCUGAUAAUUCCAGAAGGACAAUAACAAGGUAAGAACACGUACGUCCUUGUUUUGUUUGUGUGUAGCUGCGAAGCUCGUAAUAAGGUGUGUUAAUAGGAUGAUCGCAGAGAGAUAUAAAUAGGGUUAAUAAUAACGAAGGACAUUAAUGGCAGUCUGUGGAAGAGAGAGCGAGUCGUGGUACAGUAAUGAUCCAGGUGAGGUGACACUGAUGUAGCUUCAGCGCACCGAGGCCCCGAUCGAGCGCCUGGAAAUGUGCGGCACCGCACUGCAAAACACCAGCAGCGCAAGGUGUGAUAUAACCAUGAAUGAUACAGUAGCAACACAUAAAGGGACCUAAGCAUGAAAACACCGUGAAGGCGAAUGCCGACUCUCGGUGUAUAAUCUGCCAUGCCUGGCAACUGCGCGAAAUGAAAGCUGAUUAACGGAGAGAAGCGCCUUACAGUCGCGGCUCUGCCCAGUUUAUUCGGCAGCUGUGACACACAUUCAUUAACGGUUAGUUUUCACGUCUCAGUUUGUGACGUCGUGCCUGUCCGGCACAUCCAUGCAUAAUCAGGCAGCCUCUCGUGGGUCUCCGGAGGCAAACUGAAGCGAACCAAGCCCGGACGGGCAGAGCCUCCUCCGCCGGGCGCGUCGCUGCAGCCCGAAGCAACAUGGCUGUCGGCCGGGAGCUGGGCUGCCGGGGAGCAUCGCGUCCGUGUCUGGGCAAGCAAUCCGCUUUCAGCGCCUGGGUAUCCCGCUUUUAGGAAUGGGAAGGAAAACUCAUUCAGCCAAGGUGCUGGCUCACAGCCCUGAAUGCUCUGCCGUGUUGGGCCGCAGUCCGGUCCGGUCCCGCACCGCUGCGGCACAGUCCAGUACCGCAGUGUAGCGUGUGUCGGGCCCGCCUUCCCGACCCGACCUGACCCGUCCGGAGGCGGAGGUGGUUGACUGAAUUUCUACUUUAGAGUUACGACAAGGCAGCUGUUUUCUCGACGGAACCGGUCUUUAGCAUGCGAUUAAAGUCUUCUUUGAUUUGCGUUUCUAAACCAAACCGUUUUGAUGUGUAUCUAUGAGAGAAACCCCCCGGUAUGUAGUUUUAUCCAGCGGUUAACCGGCUGCAGUCAAUGUUUACAAGCGUUUGGCUCAAACAUUUUGAGUUCUCUGUUUCAGUCUGUCUAAAGCACGUUAGACGGGGUUUUCUUUUGAACAAAGUAG
rnacentral:lncRNA from 1 species